rnacentral:rRNA from 1 species
GACGAACGCUGGCGGCGUGCCUAACACAUGCAAGUCGAACGGAAAGGCCCUGCUUUUGUGGGGUUCUCGAUUGCCGAAGGCGUGAGUAACACGUGUGUAACCUGCCCUUGUCUUUGGGGGAACAUCAGGAAACGGGGGCUAAGAUCGGAUAGGAUAUCCUGCACCGUGGUGGGGGGUGGAAAGUUUCGGCGGUUGUGGAUGGACUGGCGGCUUAUCGGCUUGUUGGUCGGGUAGGGGAUUACCAAGGCUUAGACGGGUACGCGGCCUGAGAGGGUGGACGGCCACCAUAGGCCUGCGAUACGGACCAGACUCGUACGGUAGGCAGCAGUGGGAAAUCUUGCCCAAUGGGCGCACGCCUGAUGCGGAGACGCCGCGUGCGGGAAGACGGCCUUCGGGUUGUGAACCGCUUUCGCCUGUGACGACGCGUGAGUGACGGUAAUGGGUAAAGAAGCACCGGCUAACUACGUG